rnacentral:rRNA from 1 species
UACAGAGGUCUCAAGCGUUGUUCGGAUUCAUUGGGCGUAAAGGGUGUGUAGGUGGCGCGCUAAGUCGGGUGUGAAAUUUCGGAGCUUAACUCCGAAACUGCAUUCGAUACUGGCGUGCUUGAGGACUGGAGAGGAGACUGGAAUUUACGGUGUAGCAGUGAAAUGCGUAGAUAUCGUAAGGAAGACCAGUGGCGAAGGCGGGUCUCGUGGACAGUUCCUGACACUGA